ensembl:snoRNA
GUGCAGGCCAUUGUCAGCGAGGCUUGGCCUGUAGUGGCUUUGUCCUUUCCUAAAGUGUCUGCUAGAGAAAACUGAGAUGGUUUGAGGCCCUGCUGUGUCUCUUCCGUGGCAAGGUUAUAGGUAAACCUCAGACAACU